UACGGAGGGUGCGAGCGUUGUCCGGAAUCAUUGGGCGUAAAGGGCGCGUAGGUGGCCCAGCAAGCGUGCGGUGAAAGCUCGGGGCUCAACCCCGAGUCGGCCGUGCGAACUGCUGGGCUGGAGCACUGUAGAGGCAGGCGGAAUUCCGGGUGUAGCGGUGGAAUGCGUAGAGAUCCGGAAGAACACCGGUGGCGAAGGCGGCCUGCUGGGCAGUUGCUGACACUGAGGCGCGACAGCGUGGGGAGCAAACAGG
rnacentral:rRNA from 2 species